rnacentral:rRNA from 1 species
AUUGAACGCUGGCGGCAUGCCUUACACAUGCAAGUCGAACGGCAGCACGGGUGCUUGCACCUGGUGGCGAGUGGCGCAGGGGUGAGUAAUAUAUCGGAACAUGUCCUGUAGUGGGGGAUAGCCCGGCGAAAGCCGGAUUAAUACCGCAUACGAUCUACGGAUGAAAGCGGGGGACCUUCGGGCCUCGCUCUAAAGGGUUGGCCGAUGGCUGAUUAGCUAGUUGGUGGGGUAAAGGCCUACCAAGGCGACGAUCAGUAGCUGGUCUGAGAGGACGACCAGCCACACUGGGACUGAGACACGGCCCAGACUCCUACGGGAGGCAGCAGUGGGGAAUUUUGGACAAUGGGCGAAAGCCUGAUCCAGCAAUGCCGCGUGUGUGAAGAAGGCCUUCGGGUUGUAAAGCACUUUUGGCCGGAAAGAAAGCCAUGGCCCUAAUACGGUCGUGGGAUGACGGUACCGGAAGAAUAAGCACCGGCUAACUACGUG